GUCCGCACGAGCGCACCCUCGCCCUUAGUUGCCAGCAUUUAGUUGGGCACUCUAGGGGGACUGCCGGUGAUAAGCCGGAGGAAGGUGGGGAUGACGUCAAGUCCUCAUGGCCCUUACGGGCUGGGCUACACACGUGCUACAAUGGCGGUGACAGUGGGCAGCGACCUCGCGAGGGGUAGCUAAUCUCUAAAAGCCGUCUCAGUUCGGAUUGUUCUCUGCAACUCGAGAGCAUGAAGUUGGAAUCGCUAGUAAUCGCGUAACAGCAUGACGCGGUGAAUACGUUCCCGGGCCUUGUACACACCGCCCGUCACACCAUGGGAGUUGGUUUUACCCGAAGGCGCUGCGCUAACCCGCAAGGGAGGCAGGCGACCACGGUAGGGUCAGCGACUGGGGUGAAGUCU
rnacentral:rRNA from 1 species